UAGGAUACCUCAUUGUACUCUGUUUUUCCU
rnacentral:piRNA from 1 species